GUGGUGGUGGUGGUGGUAGUGGUGGCCUGGAUCAAUUAACACAAGAUUUCCUGUUCGCGACCCCCGGAAUUGCAUACGAAGUAUAGCUGCUUUUCUAUCAGAGAGCCCAUUACAACCCAAGACGCUUUGAGGAAAAUUCUGUACUGAACACAGCUAUAAGUAAAUUACACAGUGUCUUUUUCAUGUAUACUACAAUUUAUACAUAGCUGCAAGGUGUAACAUUAUGUCUAUUAAUUAUGCCACUCGGAUUUGUUGUAUCAGCUUCAUGAAACAUCAUCUAGUCAGUGUUGUUUAGUAAACAUUUUAUUACUUUAAUAUACGAAUGCUAGGGCAAACAAUGUCCGAAUAACUCAAACUGCAAUAGAAAGAUAAAAUAGAAAGAAGAAAAGCACUACUUCCUGUGAAAAAAACUUUUUUUCAGAACCUUAAAUUAAACGAGUUAAAACUCA